UACGGAGGGUGCAAGCGUUAUCCGGAUUCACUGGGUUUAAAGGGUGCGUAGGUGGGCAGGUAAGUCAGUGGUGAAAUCUCUGGGCUUAACCCAGAAACUGCCGUUGAUACUAGCUGUCUUGAAUAUAGUGGAGGUGAGCGGAAUAUGUCAUGUAGCGGUGAAAUGCUUAGAUAUGACAUAGAACACCCAUUGCGAAGGCAGCUCGCUACACUAUCAUUGACACUGAGGCACGAAAGCGUGGGGAUCAAACAGG
rnacentral:rRNA from 1 species